GUGGCAUUAGAUUGUAAUUAUUUAGAAAAAAUAUGGUCAAAUCUUAUUUGUAUUCCUAUUUUAAUAGUUUAGAUAUGGUAUUGUGCUAAUACAGUUAGGCUUAUUGUUUAUUUUUUGUAUUUUUUUAAAAAAUGAUUGUUUAUGUUUACUAAAUAGUAAUUGAAUCUGAGAAUCAGUUUAUAAAGUGGUACAUUUCUAAUCCAUAAAUUUAGUUGUGCAGUUUUAUAUCUUUUUAAAGUUUAUUGUAUCCACAUAUUUUUUUUGUCAAGUAUGUACAUAUUUUUUUUUAAGUUUAUUGUAAUGAAAGUAAAAAUAAAUAAAAUACAAUAGAUUUAACAAAAUGGGUUAUGUUGUUUAAGUAUCUGAAAAGGAUACCUUAUAUAUUGGGCUUCGAUUAGUAGACAUUAUAGAUUGGGCUAGUAUCUUAGUUAGAUAAACAUGUAUUUAUUUUGAAAUAUAAAAUGUUUGUAAAUAUAUAAGGGUGAUGUGGUGAUGUGUAAAAAAAGACUGUGGUGAUUGAUGUGUAUUACCUAUUAGUCUAUUACGAUAGUAAAGGUUUUAUUUAU
rnacentral:lncRNA from 1 species